AAUCCAGAUCCAGGGAAG
rnacentral:misc_RNA from 1 species